AUCAUGCACAUCCUGAAAAUCUACAAAUGAUUUGAACAGGUCUUAUAAAAUUAUUAAAAGCUUUUGUUAAUGCACAAC